AGUUUCUUCCUUCUUUGAUCAAACCUCGAUUCUCAAGGAUUCAAUCUGCGCAAACUUCAUUCUCCUAUACGCAUGCGUAUCACAUUCCUCGAUUCUGAUUUCAAUUCAAUUUUUUGAUUUAGGGUUCAUAAGUUAUUUUGAACAGAAACUUGUUUGACACGACGGUAACGUCUUGGCGUUUACAGAGAUAGUGAUGAAACAGAAAAGGUACUUUCGCGUGCGUGAUUUUUUCUUAAAAGUUAACAGCGAGUUUGUAAUCCGUUUGCUGACGUGUGAAAAAAUACAUGUGUUCUAUUUUGAUUGGAAACAGCACCAACAUGACCUAUUAGUAC
rnacentral:lncRNA from 1 species